rnacentral:misc_RNA from 1 species
GUCGUAACAAGGUUUCCGUAGGUGAACCUGCGGAAACGUUAAAACAAGUCGUGAACUCAGCUUGCUCCUGUAGCCCGUGAGAGCAGCAAUCCCUGGUAAAUCAUUGUUGACCCUUUUGAGUCAGGGACCUCUGCAGAUUGUGAUUUUAGAGCGAUUGCAUCUAGUGACCUGGCAUCCCAAGUAAUCAGUGUUCUGAAAGUGUCAUUGAUUGUGUAAGGAUGGCGGAAUCAUGAUCGCUGUAGGCUCACAAGUGAUCGGGUCACCGGGCUCUGCAAACAGUCUAACUUCGCCGCGCGUGAAAUUCGCACGGCACCAAAAACCGAACAACUGUUAACAAUGGAUAUCUUGGUUCUC